AAGUCGUAACAAGGUAACCGUAGGUGAACCUGCGGUUGGAUCAUUAAAAAUUAUGGGCGCCUGGCAGCAUGGUUCCUUAGGUUUUCCCAUUGGCAACCUGGUCAGGUAGUCCCUGCAGGCUUGGAGUCAAAGCAAGAUGGUACAGGUGUGGUUGUCGACUCUUUCCCGAGUGUGGCUGCACCGCUUAUCCAAAGCGCUUGAUUCUGAGAACCUGUAAAACCACCUUUGUGAACUGUUUCGUCCCUGGCGGGGGGGCAUAGUAUUUAUGUGCUAUGCCUGUCAACAUGUUUUUUCAUGUCGUGGACAUCCCGUCAACCCUUUUUAAACAUUUUCUAUUUAAACUGUCUGACAUUACUUGUAUUAAAAUACAAAACAACUUUUGGCAACGGAUCUCUUGGCUCUC
rnacentral:misc_RNA from 1 species